rnacentral:lncRNA from 12 species
AAACAUGUUUACCAGCAGGAGCCUAAAUCAACAGCUUUGAACAUGAUAGUUCAGAAAGUAGCAGGGAGCCACGAUUCCUGACAUGGGCCACACUGACGUUUUUUAAUUUUUUUACUUUCCCACUGUAUCCAUCUCCUCUCCUGCCCUGCCUUUCUCUACCUUUGUCCUUGGUUAAAAUAAACCAUCAUAGCAUUAAAUCUGUCUCCCACGGUUAAUUACUGCAGUGAUGUGUGAAAGCAUUUAGUUGCAGCACCUUCUCAAUGGGUUUUAAAGACACAGUUUAAUAUUAGUUUGUAUGGUGGUUGCUGUACAUCUUCAAACCAUAAAGACCAUGUCAAGUGCUCCAAGGAAUAAUGAAAUAUUAAUUUCGAGACAAAAAAAUUAAGUGGCUUAAAGAAGAAGCUGUUGUGUAUCCCAUGAGUGGCUUUUAAGACAUUGAUAUCUAUGCUUUGAACAUAUCUAUUCUUAGCCAUUCAAACCACAUGUAAUGAGCCCUAAGUAACUGUCUGCCUUCAAUUUUGUAGCACACAGAUUGAAACCACCAAUCCCUUCUGUCAGAGCACAGCUAUGAAGAAAAGGCCCCCCUUUUCUUACCUACAGUCCUGUAUUUUUGACAACAUUAUCCGAUGUAGAAGACCUGUUACUGUCUUGUGUACACUGGAGAGAAAAAAAAGCAGAAUCGGUGGGCCUCGUAGAAAUCUCCAGUGGUCCCUUAAACAGGAGCUAAGGGAGCAGGCUGGAGGCAAAGAGGGGGAAAAACAACAGCAAAUACAAACCCAAAUCAAAACAAACAUGCUAACUUUAGUCCAUCCAGGUGAGUGUGUCUGAAGGAUCCCAACUCCUCUACAACCCCAGUCAGGUCCUCACUGCAGCUGCUUUUCUCAACUGCCUGUGGCAUUAACUUUUAAAACUUGAACAGUUCCAGUUGGAUGCCAAGCAUACCUGAGAUCACUUAUGAUGGGCACGAUUAGCCAUGCUCGUUAGCCAUAGUAACCGUGGGGUCUUUACCACAAUGAGAAAUGGAACUUUAAAAAGUUACUCUGAUUUACUACUAUACAAAUUCUCACAACGUCGUAAUAAAGAGGCUACAUGAUGAAACCUGACA